UAACUCGUCAAAGUGGUGUGUGACUAUGGCGAGGUUUGAUUUGGGUUCUCAUAUCACAGCCACUUUGAUGAGCUUAA
rnacentral:pre_miRNA from 1 species